GACGAACGCUGGCGGCGCGCCUAACACAUGCAAGUCGAACGAGCGAGAGAGAGCUUGCUUUCUCGAGCGAGUGGCGAACGGGUGAGUAACGCGUGAGGAACCUGCCUCAAAGAGGGGGACAACAGUUGGAAACGACUGCUAAUACCGCAUAAGCCCACGGGUCGGCAUCGACCAGAGGGAAAAGGAGCAAUCCGCUUUGAGAUGGCCUCGCGUCCGAUUAGCUAGUUGGUGAGGUAAUGGCCCACCAAGGCGACGAUCGGUAGCCGGACUGAGAGGUUGAACGGCCACAUUGGGACUGAGACACGGCCCAGACUCCUACGGGAGGCAGCAGUGGGGAAUAUUGCACAAUGGGGGGAAACCCUGAUGCAGCGACGCCGCGUGGAGGAAGAAGGUUUUCGGAUUGUAAACUCCUGUCGUUAGGGACGAUAAUGACGGUACCUAACAACGAAAGCACCGGCUAACUACGUGCCAG
rnacentral:rRNA from 1 species